CGGCCCGUAGCGGUCGCCUAUAGAUGCAGUCGAGCGGUAACAUUUCAAAGCUUGCUUUUGAAGAUGACGAGCGGCGGACGGGUGAGUAAUGCCUGGGAAUUUGCCCAUUUGUGGGGGAUAACAGUUGGAAACGACUGCUAAUACCGCAAACGCCCUACGGGGGAAAGCAGGGGACCUUCGGGCCUUGCGCUGAUGGAUAAGCCCAGGUGGGAUUAGCUAGUAGGUGAGGUAAAGGCUCACCUAGGCGACGAUCCCUAGCUGGUCUGAGAGGAUGAUCAGCCACACUGGGACUGAGACACGGCCCACACUCCUACGGGAGGCAGCAGUGGGGAAUAUUGCACAAUGGGGGAAACCCUGAUGCAGCCAUGCCGCGUGUGUGAAGAAGGCCUUCGGGUUGUAAAGCACUUUCAGCGAGGAGGAAAGGGUGUAAGUUAAUACCUUACAUCUGUGACGUUACUCGCAGAAGAAGCACCGGCUAACUCCGUGCCAGCAGCCGCGGUAAUACGGAGGGUGCGAGCGUUAAUCGGAAUUACUGGGCGUAAAGCGUGCGCAGGCGGUUUGUUAAGCGAGAUGUGAAAGCCCCGGGCUCAACCUGGGAACCGCAUUUCGAACUGGCAAACUAGAGUCUUGUAGAGGGGGGUAGAAUUCCAGGUGUAGCGGUGAAAUGCGUAGAGAUCUGGAGGAGUACCGGUGGCGAAGGCGGCCCCCUGGACACACACUGACGCUCAGGCACGAAAGCGUGUGGGAGCAAGCAGGAUCAGAUACCCCCGUAGUUCCACCCCCAUAAACUAUGUCUACUCUCGAGUG
rnacentral:rRNA from 1 species